ACAUGCAAGUCGAGCGGUAGAGAGAAGCUUGCUUCUCUUGAGAGCGGCGGACGGGUGAGUAAUGCCUAGGAAUCUGCCUNGUGGUGGGGGAUAACGUUCGGAAACGGACGCUAAUACCGCAUACGUCCUACGGGAGAAAGCGGGGGACCUUCGGGCCUCGCGCCAUUAGAUGAGCCUAGGUCGGAUUAGCUAGUUGGUGAGGUAAUGGCUCACCAAGGCGACGAUCCGUAACUGGUCUGAGAGGAUGAUCAGUCACACUGGAACUGAGACACGGUCCAGACUCCUACGGGAGGCAGCAGUGGGGAAUAUUGGACAAUGGGCGAAAGCCUGAUCCAGCCAUGCCGCGUGUGUGAAGAAGGUCUUCGGAUUGUAAAGCACUUUAAGUUGGGAGGAAGGGUAGUAACUUAAUACGUUGCUNCUUUGACGUUACCGACAGAAUAAGCACCGGCUAACUUCGUGCCAGCAGCCGCGGUAAUACNAAGGGUGCAAGCGUUAAUCGGAAUUACUGGGCGUAAAGCGCGCGUAGGUGGUUC
rnacentral:rRNA from 1 species